GAUGAACGCUGGCGGCGUGCUUAACACAUGCCAGUCGAACGAUGAAGCUGGAGCUUGCUCUGGUGGAUUAGUGGCGAACGGGUGAGUAACACGUGAGCAACCUGCCCCUGACUCCGGGAUAACAGCCGGAAACGGCUGCUAAUACCGGAUAUGCACCAUGAACGCAUGUUCUGUGGUGGGAAAGAUUUUUCGGUUGGGGAUGGGCUCGCGGCCUAUCAGCUUGUUGGUGAGGUAAUGGCUCACCAAGGCGUCGACGGGUAGCCGGCCUGAGAGGGUGACCGGCCACACUGGGACUGAGACACGGCCCAGACUCCUACGGGAGGCAGCAGUGGGGAAUAUUGCACAAUGGGCGAAAGCCUGAUGCAGCAACGCCGCGUGAGGGAUGACGGCCUUCGGGUUGUAAACCUCUUUUAGCAGGGAAGAAGCGAGAGUGACGGUACCUGCAGAAAAAGCGCCGGCUAACUACGUG
rnacentral:rRNA from 1 species